GUACUUGCUUCAGCAGCACUUAUACUAAAAUUGGAAUGAUGCAGAGAAGAUUAGCAUGGCACCUGUGCAAGGAUGACACGCAAAUUCAUGAGGUGUUCCAUAUUUUA
rnacentral:snRNA from 1 species